AUUGAACGCUGGCGGAAUGCUUUACACAUGCAAGUCGAGCGGCAGCGCGGGGGCAACCCUGGCGGCGAGCGGCGAACGGGUGAGUAAUGUAUCGGAACGUACCCAGUCGUGGGGGAUAACUAUCCGAAAGGAUAGCUAAUACCGCAUACGACCUGAGGGUGAAAGCGGGGGACCGUAAGGCCUCGCGCGAUUGGAGCGGCCGAUAUCGGAUUAGCUAGUUGGUGAGGUAAAGGCUCACCAAGGCGACGAUCCGUAGCUGGUCUGAGAGGACGACCAGCCACACUGGAACUGAGACACGGUCCAGACUCCUACGGGAGGCAGCAGUGGGGGAAUUUUGGACAAUGGGCGCAAGCCUGAUCCAGCCAUUCCGCGUGAGUGAAGAAGGCCUUCGGGUUGUAAAGGCUCUUUCGUCAAGGAAAGAAAACUAAAUACUCCUAAUACGAGGUGAGGUUGACGGUACCUUGAUAAGAAGACACCGGCUAACUACGUAGCCAGCAGCCGCGGUAA
rnacentral:rRNA from 1 species